GGAAAGUUUUUACCUUCUCGAUAAAGAUGACAUCAAAGACUUGAUCACGAAAGUUGGACCAAGGGCAAAAUUCAAGAAGAGACUCAAGUCUCUGAAGGGGGAGAAAAAUGCAACAAAUCAGGAACAUGAAGAAACUGCUGAUUCUGCUCAGGUUUUGGCCAACAGUAACACAAGAGAUAAAG